rnacentral:rRNA from 14 species
GUAUUGUGAAUGAAAGGUGAAAAGAAUUCCGCAAGGUAGGUGAAAUAGUGCUGUCACUCAUCAAAUGUAUUGGCCUAUAGCAAUAAGUGGUUGUGGAAGAAAGAAUUGUUGAGUUUCAAGUAACAUCAAGUAGUUAUCCAUGUUGUAGUUAUCAUGUUAUUAAAGCCCGAAUACUAGCGAUCUAACUAUCUAUCCAAUGUUAUAAUUCAUCGAAGCUGUGUUGAGUAUACUGAAGAUUGAAAUGUGGAGGGGUACACACCUGCCAUUCAAUUGAUAGUUGGUGGUUAAAUGUCAUACGAGCUGUGUUAAUAUCUGGGUGUGUUCGAAACAUGUAAUGGU